CACGUAGGCACCAAGCGUUGUCCGGAUUUAUUGGGCGUAAAGAGCUCGUAGGCGGUUCGGUAAGUCGGGUGUGAAAACCCUGGGCUCAACCCAGAGCCGCCACCCGAUACUGCUGUGACUUGAGUUCGGUAGGGGAGCGGGGAAUUCCUGGUGUAGCGGUGAAAUGCGCAGAUAUCAGGAGGAACACCAGUGGCGAAGGCGCCGCUCUGGGCCGAGACUGACGCUGAGGAGCGAAAGCGUGGGUAGCAAACAGG
rnacentral:rRNA from 1 species